rnacentral:rRNA from 1 species
UACGAAGGGGGCUAGCGUUGCUCGGAAUCACUGGGCGUAAAGGGUGCGUAGGCGGGUCUUUAAGUCAGGGGUGAAAUCCUGGAGCUCAACUCCAGAACUGCCUUUGAUACUGAAGAUCUUGAGUUCGGGAGAGGUGAAGUGGAACUGCGAGUGUAGAGGUGAAAUUCGUAGAUAUUCGCAAGAACACCAGUGGCGAAGGCGGCUCACUGGCCC